rnacentral:rRNA from 1 species
UACGUAGGGUGCGAGCGUUGCCCGGAUUCAUUGGGCGUAAAGCGCGCGCAGGCGGAUGCACGCGUCCCGCGUGAAAUCGCCCGGCUCAACCGGGCGGGGUCGCGGGAUACGGUGCGUCUGGAGCACGGGAGGGGGCAGUGGAAUUCCCGGUGUAGUGGUGGAAUGCGUAGAGAUCGGGAGGAACACCAGUGGCGAAGGCGACUGCCUGGACCGCGGCUGACGCUGAGGCGCGAAAGCGUGGGGAGCGAUCCGG